rnacentral:tRNA from 1 species
GCCGGCGUAGCUCAAAGGAAGAGCAGCUGAUUCGUAAUCAGCAGGUUGUAGGUUCAAUUCCUAUCGCCGGCUCCA